rnacentral:lncRNA from 1 species
ACUUUGAAAUUGGAGGGACUGAGCACGCAAAUAGCCCAUCUACAGAAAACGCGCGGAUCCUCCCCCUGGGUCGGGUCACCGCGCGGGUCAGAGACCAAAACGACGCCGUUUUGGUCUCUGAACCCUAAACUCAAAAACGACGCCGUUUUGCAGGGUAGUUAAACCCAAAUUUUCUGAAAAAAUCACUUCAGCCACCAAAGAAAGAAAAAAAAAUUGAAACACAAAAAAAAACUCCCUCCUCCUCUCAAUGGUCCGGCCUUUGGGUCAUUCCUGCGCCGCCGUUGCGCCACCACGGGCGGUGGCCGGCCUCGCGCAAUAGGGGCGUUCUAGACCCGAUUUUAGACCCAAUCAAAGGCUUGACCCAUUUAACCCGAAGGCCAAAUGGAAGGGCCCUCCAACUCGACCUUUCGGGGCCGAUUUCCUCGACGGACAGACUCCGACGGCGGCGCGAUGCAGGUAAAAAUACUUCCUUUUCGAUUUUUUUUAAGAAAAGAAAUCAAAAUAAAUAAAAAAAAAUAUGAAAAGUAAAAGAAAAAAAAACAGGUAAAAUCACCUUCCAAACUUUUUUGCUUUUGAUUUCUGAAAGUGUUGGUAAAAAAGGUAGGGGAAGCCGAACCCCUUACACUGAUAUUCUUUGGCUUUUUAUAGCCCAAAAAUUACAUGUUUUUCUAUUAUUUUUCUAUUUUUCUUCUGUUGUUUGGUUGCUUUCUUUGUUUUCUUCCUUGCCGGUGAUGGCGCAAGUGGAGGGUCGACGUGACUGCGGGCGGCGACGACGUGACCGUGGCGACGUCAGAAGGCCAAGGGUCAGAAUGCUAGGGGCGGCGCCUAGGGUUUCAGAGACUGAAACCCUAGGCAGAUUUUUAGUUGGGAUUGGGCCAUUGGGUAUUUUGAUGGGCUAGGUUUGCUGGGUUUAGGUGGGUUUGGGUCUGAUUUUAGGUUAAUGGGCCUGGUUUAGUUUGGGUGAGGCCCGGGCUAAAUUUGGGCUGUACAGCAAGCUUUCUAAGAUUUUUAAUUAGUUGGUAUGAUACUUUAUGUGGAACCUUUCUCCUCAUAAUGUAAUGCCAACUAAGUCCUUUAAAAGUGCCUUAAAUAAAGGUUUAUGGAUAGAAGAGAAGGUAGAGGUGAAUCCUUAACUUAGCUAAUUAUGAGUAACUAAUUAAAAAACAACCACUUUCAGCAAAUAAUAAAUUAAUUGAAUGUGUUAUAACUAACACCAGAAUCGAUCGAAGAGACACCUUGUACUGUCCGGAUGAUUAUUCGGUGAUUGAUUAUCCAUGUGCCUCGUAUCCUCCACGAAAAGAAUUGUUCAUAAAACCUUAACGCGCUAAGCUCUUGACCUCCUCUACCCGAGUCCCUCUACUUUUCUAACUCUCGACCUUAAAAUGGAUGAACUGACUUUCUUCGACACCACCCCUCUCUGUCUUCUUUGCUCUCAUUGGUACCACACAUCAACAAAAUGCUAGCUAGAUAAAUGCUUGCUUUAAACAAGAUUCUUCCAAAAGAAAUGGGUGUUUGAAUAAUUAGUUGUUAUUAAUUAUUUGAAGAUGCUUCAAUUUUAAUCCAUUAUUUGAUUAUUACAUGCUAGAGUUGAAUGUAAGGUUUCGACCAUCAUUAUACAUAAAUGUCUUUGUUUUUAAGAUUGUAAGUUAUGUUAAAACGAGAUUUGGAUAGGUGUUGGAUGUGAUAGUACAUUUAAAACAAGUAUAUUUAAAAAUAUGAAAAAUCUAUGAAUAUAUAAUAUAAUAAGGUCUAAUCAUGAAAACUCAUUUAUCCAUAAUUGAAAUUCAUGGAUAGAUGUAACCAUGGCAUGGGUUUAUCAAAUGAAUAAGAAUGAACAAAGUCGAUUUGACCAAGUCUCUUUUCUCUUUAUUCCAAGGCAUGGGGCAUUGCCUUGGCUUAGUUGCUUUAUACUUGCACCAAAGCUUGCCUUUUAUUUUAAUUAUUUUUAAUGGAAAGUGGGAUUAAUUUAUUAUGCACAAAUCAUUAUCAAAGCUUUGAAAAUUUUCCACCCAUUUUUGAAAACAAUCUUUUUAUCCUUUAAAUACUUUAUCCAUUUUUGAAAACAAUUUUUCAUAUGUUUUUUAUAUAUUAUUUUUAUUUUUAACGUUAACAAGGUAAACAACAAAAUAUUAAAAUUAAUAAAAUUUUAUUUUAAAAAACAAAGUUAUUUUUUGGAAUAUGUAACUUUAUUUUUCAAGUAUUUAUUUCAUUAAAUAAAAAAUAAUGUAUUAAUUUUUAAUAUUUAUAGAUUAAAUUAUUGUUAUCUAUUAAAAUUGAAUAUUUUAAAUAUUUUUUCGUAUUAAGUUAUAUUUCCAAAUCGUCAAAAUUAAUCUUAAGUGGUAAAUUCUAUUUAAAAAUACAAAAGUUGACGGUAAAAUUUAAUGAAGUUCUAAGAUUAGUAGUAAAAUUAGGUUAAGUGGAAGUUUACUCAUAUUUUCGAAAUGUAAUGACAAAUAUUAAUGAAAAUAAAGUAUAAUGACAAAUUUUAAUAUUUAUGAUGACAAAUUUACCCUUAAAAUCAUAUAAAUACAUUAUAUAUCCAUACUUGCAUCAUUCGUAAUUUAAUUACGACUAUUACUGUGUUUCUAAGAAAAAAGAUACAAGAGAUCAUCCAAGUAGAAAAAUGACAAAAACAUGAAAUAUGCAAAAACAUAUUAUGACUCUCUGGACGGUGUUUGUGGUGCGAUGGAAUUUUUUACUUUGUAGCUAUAUUUAUUAAUUUUAUCGUCACUGUUAUUUUUAAUCUUACCGGAGGUAAACACACCGACCAUCCAAAGGCACCCUAUAUCUCCAUAUUGUAUAUUUUUUAUGCCCUUUUCUGUCUUUAAAUGAUGAAAUAAAUAAAUCUUUAACCCUUAACUUUGUGAUUAAUUAUGUACAAAUCAAAUAAAAUUAUGUGUUAUUUGAUAAAUUGAAAAAUUAAGUACUAAAAAAAAUUUUAAUGUUGACUUUUUAGUACUGAAUUUUGUAAGUAUUAAAUUUAUUUUAUAAAAUUAUUUGGUAUAAUGGUAAAAAAAUAAGUAUUGAAUAUAUUAUGUUGUUUGAUAAAAGAAAAUAUUGAUUUUUGAAAAUUAAUUAUUUUGUAAAUUUAGUCUUAUUAAUAUAAUAUUUUAAAUUAUUUUGGAUAGUUUUGGAUAAAUAUAACAAAUUGAAUAUUUUAUUUUUCAAUAAAAAUAGAUCAUUUAUCUUAAAUAUGAUUUGUUAUAUGAUAAGUGCUAAAAAUAACAUGUUUUAACCUCAUUCUUAAUGCAUUUUUGGGUGAUUAUUCGAUGUUAAUUGUGAACUUUAUGCUCCUAAUAGUUAAAAUUCAUGUUUUGAUGUUUAAUAGAGCACUUGGAAGCAAAAAGAGCGAAAAACGAGUGAAAGUCGAAUCAUCAGAGCAAGCUACAGGAGCCACACGAGCUGAACUAUUCCACACGGGUGUGUGAUAGAUUGUGUCGAUUUCACGAAAUUGUGCUUUGCAUAGCAAAAAAUCACGAUUUUUAGGUUUUUCAGGUAUUCUAAGACAUAUAUAUGACAAAAAUAAUAAUAUAGGAGAGAGUCAUCAAAGAAUAUUCAAGAAAACAACUCGAAAAACACCAUUGAAGAUUCUCAUUUGAUUUCUUAGAAAGUUAUUAUUAGUUUCUUUAGUUCUUUCAGUUAUAUUGUCUUGGAUGUUUUUAUUUUUAAGUAUGAACUAAUUUUCUAAAUACUUAAGGAGAUGAACCCUAUGAUAGAUUCUGUCAUUUGAUUUUUAUUUUACGCAAUAAAUAUUUAGUUUCUUGUUCUCAA